rnacentral:rRNA from 1 species
GGGGGCACCCUGAUCCAGCCAUGCCGCGUGUGUGAAGAAGGCCUUUUGGUUGUAAAGCACUUUAAGCAGUGAAGAAGACUCCGUGGUUAAUACCCAUGGACGAUGACAUUAGCUGCAGAAUAAGCACCGGCUAACUCUGUGCCAGCAGCCGCGGUAAUACAGAGGGUGCAAGCGUUAAUCGGAAUUACUGGGCGUAAAGCGAGCGUAGGUGGCUUGAUAAGUCAGAUGUGAAAUCCCCGGGCUUAACCUGGGAACUGCAUCUGAUACUGUUAGGCUAGAAUAGGUGAGAGGAAGGUAGAAUUCCAGGUGUAGCGGUGAAAUGCGUAGAGAUCUGGAGGAAUACCGAUGGCGAAGGCAGCCUUCUGGCAUCAUAUUGACACUGAGGUUCGAAAGCGUGGGUAGCAAACAGGAUUAGAUACCCUGGUAGUCCACGCCGUAAACGAUGUCUACUAGUCGUUGGGUCCCUUGAGGACUUAGUGACGCAGCUAACGCAAUAAGUAGACCGCCUGGGGAGUACGGCCGCAAGGUUAAAACUCAAAUGAAUUGACGGGGGCCCGCACAAGCGGUGGAGCAUGUGGUUUAAUUCGAUGCAACGCGAAGAACCUUACCUGGUCUUGACAUAUCUAGAAUCCUGCAGAGAUGCGGGAGUGCCUUCGGGAAUUAGAAUACAGGUGCUGCAUGGCUGUCGUCAGCUCGUGUCGUGAGAUGUUGGGUUAAGUCCCGCAACGAGCGCAACCCUUGUCCUUAGUUACCAGCGGGUUAAGCCGGGAACUCUAAGGAUACUGCCAGUGACAAACUGGAGGAAGGCGGGGACGACGUCAAGUCAUCAUGGCCCUUA